AUUGAACGCUGGCGGCAUGCUUUACACAUGCAAGUCGAACGGUAACAGGCCGCAAGGUGCUGACGAGUGGCGAACGGGUGAGUAAUGCAUCGGAACGUGCCCAGUCGUGGGGGAUAACGCAGCGAAAGCUGCGCUAAUACCGCAUACGAUCUAUGGAUGAAAGCGGGGGACCGUAAGGCCUCGCGCGAUUGGAGCGGCCGAUGUCAGAUUAGGUAGUUGGUGGGGUAAAGGCUCACCAAGCCAACGAUCUGUAGCUGGUCUGAGAGGACGACCAGCCACACUGGGACUGAGACACGGCCCAGACUCCUACGGGAGGCAGCAGUGGGGAAUUUUGGACAAUGGGCGCAAGCCUGAUCCAGCAAUGCCGCGUGCAGGAAGAAGGCCCUCGGGUUGUAAACUGCUUUUGUACGGAACGAAACAGUCUGGGUUAAUACCUCGGGCUAAUGACGGUACCGUAAGAAUAAGCACCGGCUAACUACGUGCCAGCAGCCGCAGUAACAC
rnacentral:rRNA from 1 species